rnacentral:rRNA from 1 species
GAGCCUGAGAAACGGCUACCACAUCCAAGGAUGGCAGCAGGCGCGCAAAUUACCCAAUCCCGACACGGGGAGGUAGUGACAAUAAAUAACAAUACGGGGUUCUUUAGGAUCUCGUAAUUGGAAUGAGUACAAUUUAAAUCUCUUAACGAGGAACAAUUGGAGGGCAAGUCUGGUGCCAGCAGCCGCGGUAAUUCCAGCUCCAAUAGCGUAUAUUAAAGUUGUUGCAGUUAAAAAGCUCGUAGUUGAAUUUCGGGGUUAGUAGGUUGGUCAUGCCUCUGGUAUGUACUGGUCUCACUGAUUCCUCCUUCCUUAUGAACCGUAAUGCCAUUAAUUUGGUGUUGCGGGGAAUUUGGACUGUUACUUUGAAAAAAUUAGAGUGUUUAAAGCAAGCUAACGCUUGAAUACAUUAGCAUGGAAUAAUGAAAUAGGACGUUCGAUCUUAUUUUGUUGGUUUCUAGGAUUGACGUAAUGAUUAAUAGGGAUAGUUGGGGGCAUUAGUAUUCAAUUGUCAGAGGUGAAAUUCUUGGAUUUAUUGAAGACUAACUACUGCGAAAGCAUUUGCCAAGGAUGUUUUCAUUAAUCAAGAACGAAAGUUAGGGGAUCGANNNCGAUCAGAUACCGUCGUAGUCUUAACCAUAAACUAUGCCGACUAGGGAUCGGAUGAUGUUAAUUUUUUAAUGACUCAUUCGGCGCCUUACGGGAA